AUGUUUACGAAUCUGGGACUUAGAUGCUCGAGGAUUUCAUAAAAGCAUGUGGAGAUUAUGGUUAAAGGGUAAUCACGUGUUAAUUGUUGGAUCACCGGCUUCACCUUACGCCAAACAUAAACCAAUUAACGUAAAACCUAUUUUCAUUCCUAAAAAAAUCGGAGACUGCGUGAUCAUCUUUGAUUAGAGAUAUCAUUCGUUUAUCAUGCGGCAUUUAAGCUAAAUGAAUGUGGGGAAAUCUUGAAGUUUAAAAAAACUUUAAUGUAAAUGUGAUUGGAUAAAUUUUCAUCAUGGUUUGAUCAAGGAAAUGAACUCGUUGAACAAGGAAUAUAAGAGGAAAAAGAUAACUUUCAAUUUGUUCAGUUUUACUGUUAAUAAUGUAAUUUUAAGGAUUACAACCACGGAAAAGAAACAAUCGCGCUUUUCCCACAAAACAUUUACCGCAUUUGAAAGUCCUGCUAUCGUUACAUCGCUAAAGAUAAUUAUUUGAAAACGAACUUACCUCUCAUUCUUUCCCUUUGUCCCAUCCUAUUAGGAUUGCUAAAAUGAAUCACUUGCUACCAUUUAGUUCUGUCAAUAAAAUUCUCUCGUUAAAUUAUUACAUUACAUUUUACAAUGGCAAGUCAUAUUAUUGCAAUAAGCAGGGCUCCAAUGUUCAUAAUAAGUAUUGAGCACGACAAAAGCUUUUCUAUAACAUGUGGGUGAUUCCCACGUGAAUAAAUUACAAGCUUUUGAUAUGCCUUCUAAUUUAUUUGUUGACGUAACAAGUUGAAUAAAGGUGGUCAGGUGGGAGAAAAAUGAUAACUCUCCAAGCUAUGGUGCAUUGAAUUGCGGUUUUGGGUGAGAUAAUUUUUUGUUCAUACUAGAUAAAAUUUACCACAACACGACAUGCUCUGUCUGCCGUCAUAACCUUACAAUCAUUGAUUUCGCAAACUCUUCAUUGAGGAAACAAAAGAAAUAUUCUUUUGUUUUCUCCAAACCUCUGGGGAAAAGGCUUUGCUUUCUUUUACUAACCAAUGUCGUUAGUUAACUUAUAACCAGGCUUAAUUCCUUUUGUCUUUGCCCUGCAUAUAUUUUCAUGCAAUCAAUGAAUUUAAUCCCUUUUUAUCAUGGUUUGAACAAAAUUGACGAAUGAAUUAAUAAUUAAUUCAUGUGAUAUAUGAAAGUUAUCAGAAGAAAAAGUAGGGUCUUUCACUUCGAUAACCCUAUUUGACCGAGCUGUUCGUCUGGGAAAGGUGAAAGUCUGUUGAAAGUCGAAGACAGCCUUCAAGAAAUGCGACUACUUGUUGGAAAGGACGAGCAACUGAAGACAUGACACGGUUGAGAUAUUUUAGCCAUGUUUGAAAGCGGCAGGUUAAAUACAGAAAAAUCGUCGAUGACAUAAAGAUCAUAUUCAAAGCAUCGUUAUGAGUCCUAUUUGUUCGAAGGAAUGAUCGAUUUCUUAGUAUUUCUAUGUUUCGAUCUUGGAGCACAAAAAUGCCGUCAAGUUUCAGUUACAUAUUGAAGUGAGAACACGAACGAAACUGCCAAAA